AUCGAUGAAGAACGCAGCGAAAUGCGAUAAGUAGUGUGAAUUGCAGAAUUCAGUGAAUCAUCGAAUCUUUGAACGCACAUUGCGCCCUUCGGUAUUCCGUUGGGCAUGCCUGUUCGAGCGUCAUUUAAACCUUCAAGCUCUGCUUGGUGUUGGGUGUUUGUUCCGCCUUUGUGCGUGGACUCGCCUUAAAUUCAUUGGCAGCCGGUAUGUUGGCUUCGUGCGCAGCACAUUGCAAGCGAGCCUAGUAUACCUCCUUCCAUUAAGCUUCUUUUUUACUUUGACCUCGGAUCAGGUAGGGAUACCCGCUGAACUUAAGCAUAUCAAUAAGCGGAGGAAAAGAAACCAACAGGGAUUGCCCCAGUAACGGCGAGUGAAGCGGCAAUAGCUCAAAUUUGAAAUCUGGCCCUUUUAGGGUCCGAGUUGUAAUUUGCAGAGGGCGCUUUGGAGUCGGCAGCAGCCUAAGUUCCUUGGAACAGGUCAUCAUAGAGGGUGAGAAUCCCGUAUGUGGCUGCUUGCCUUCGCCGUGUAAAGCCCCUUCGAUGAGUCGAGUUGUUUGGGAAUGCAGCUCUAAAUGGGAGGUAAAUUUCUUCUAAAGCUAAAUAUUGGCCAGAGACCGAUAGCGCACAAGUAGAGUGAUCGAAAGAUGAAAAGCACUUUGGAAAGAGAGUCAAAAAGCACGUGAAAUUGUUGAAAGGGAAGCGCUUGCAGCCAGACGUGCCCGCAGUUGCUCAUCCGGGGUUUUCCCCGGUGCACUCUUCUGUGGGCAGGCCAGCAUCAGUUCGGGCGGUUGGAGAAAGGCAUGUGUCAUGUACUCCUCUCGGGGAGCCUUAUAGGGCAUGUGGAAUACAGCCAGCCCGAACUGAGGUCCGCGCAUCUGCUAGGAUGCUGGCGUAAUGGCUGUAAGCGGCCCGUCUUGAAACACGG
rnacentral:rRNA from 1 species